rnacentral:rRNA from 1 species
UACGGGGGGAGCAAGCGUUGUUCGGAUUUACUGGGCGUAAAGGGUGCGUAGGCGGCCGGCGCAAGUCUGGCGUGAAAGCCCCGGGCUCAGCCCGGGAGGGCGCUCGAAACGGCGCGGCUCGAGUGCCGGAGGGGAGAGUGGAAUUCCUGGUGUAGCGGUGAAAUGCGUAGAGAUCCGGAGGAACACCAGUAGCGAAGGCGGCUCGCUGGGCCACACCUGACGCUGAGACGCGAAAGCUAGGGAGCGAACAGG